AACAAGCUUGCUUGUUGGGGUUGUAGGACACUCUAUACGGAGUUACAAAGGACGACAUUAGACGAAUCAUCUGGAAAGAUGAAUCAAAGAAGGUAAUAAUCCUGUAGUCGAAAAUGUUGUCUCUCUUGAGUGGAUCCUGAGUACGACGGAGCACGUGAAAUUCCGUCGGAAUCUGGGAGGACCAUCUCCUAAGGCUAAAUACUCUCUAGUGACCGAUAGUGAACCAGUACCGUGAGGGAAAGGUGAAAAGCACCCCGGAAGGGGAGUGAAAUAGAACCUGAAACCGUGUGCUUACAAGUAGUCAGAGCCCGUUAAUGGGUGAUGGCGUGCCUUUUGUAGAAUGAACCGGCGAGUUACGAUUUGAUGCAAGGUUAAGCAGUAAAUGUGGAGCCGUAGCGAAAGCGAGUCUGAAUAGGGCGUUUAGUAUUUGGUCGUAGACCCGAAACCAGGUGAUCUACCCUUGGUCAGGUUGAAGUUCAGGUAACACUGAAUGGAGGACCGAACCGACUUACGUUGAAAAGUGAGCGGAUGAACUGAGGGUAGCGGAGAAAUUCCAAUCGAACCUGGAGAUAGCUGGUUCUCUCCGAAAUAGCUUUAGGGCUAGCCUCAAGUGAUGAUUAUUGGAGGUAGAGCACUGUUUGGACGAGGGGCCCCUCUCGGGUUACCGAAUUCAGACAAACUCCGAAUGCCAAUUAAUUUAACUUGGGAGUCAGAACAUGGGUGAUAAGGUCCGUGUUCGAAAGGGAAACAGCCCAGACCACCAGCUAAGGUCCCAAAAUAUAUGUUAAGUGGAAAAGGAUGUGGCGUUGCCCAGACAACUAGGAUGUUGGCUUAGAAGCAGCCAUCAUUUAAAGAGUGCGUAAUAGCUCACUAGUCGAGUGACACUGCGCCGAAAAUGUACCGGGGCUAAACAUAUUACCGAAGCUGUGGAUUGUCCUUUGGACAAUGGUAGGAGAGCGUUCUAAGGGCGUUGAAGCAUGAUCGCAAGGACAUGUGGAGCGCUUAGAAGUGAGAAUGCCGGUGUGAGUAGCGAAAGACGGGUGAGAAUCCCGUCCACCGAUUGACUAAGGUUUCCAGAGGAAGGCUCGUCCGCUCUGGGUUAGUCGGGUCCUAAGCUGAGGCCGACAGGCGUAGGCGAUGGAUAACAGGUUGAUAUUCCUGUACCACCUAUAAUCGUUUUAAUCGAUGGGGGGACGCAGUAGGAUAGGCGAAGCGUGCGAUUGGAUUGCACGUCUAAGCAGUAAGGCUGAGUAUUAGGCAAAUCCGGUACUCGUUAAGGCUGAGCUGUGAUGGGGAGAAGACAUUGUGUCUUCGAGUCGUUGAUUUCACACUGCCGAGAAAAGCCUCUAGAUAGAAAAUAGGUGCCCGUACCGCAAACCGACACAGGUAGUCAAGAUGAGAAUUCUAAGGUGAGCGAGCGAACUCUCGUUAAGGAACUCGGCAAAAUGACCCCGUAACUUCGGGAGAAGGGGUGCUCUUUAGGGUUAACGCCCAGAAGAGCCGCAGUGAAUAGGCCCAAGCGACUGUUUAUCAAAAACACAGGUCUCUGCUAAACCGUAAGGUGAUGUAUAGGGGCUGACGCCUGCCCGGUGCUGGAAGGUUAAGAGGAGUGGUUAGCUUCUGCGAAGCUACGAAUCGAAGCCCCAGUAAACGGCGGCCGUAACUAUAACGGUCCUAAGGUAGCGAAAUUCCUUGUCGGGUAAGUUCCGACCCGCACGAAAGGCGUAACGAUUUGGGCACUGUCUCAACGAGAGACUCGGUGAAAUCAUAGUACCUGUGAAGAUGCAGGUUACCCGCGACAGGACGGAAAGACCCCGUGGAGCUUUACUGUAGCCUGAUAUUGAAAUUCGGCACAGCUUGUACAGGAUAGGUAGGAGCCUUUGAAACGUGAGCGCUAGCUUACGUGGAGGC
rnacentral:rRNA from 1 species